GGUAAAUGCUUGGGUUAACUACCAAGCGCACACACAUCUGUAAAGAAGAGGAGGAAGAGGAAGAGGAAGAGGAGAAAAAAAAGGUUAUUCUGGAGAUAAUUGAGAAGACAAAACUAUAAUUACUAUUAAUGAAUAUGGU
rnacentral:lncRNA from 14 species